UGAACGCUAGCGACAGGCCUAACACAUGCAAGUCGAGGGGCGAGCACAAGGAGCAAUCUGAGGUGGCGACCGGCGCACGGGUGAGUAACACGUAUGCAACCUGCCUGUAAGCGGGGAAUAACCCGUUGAAAGACGGACUAAUACCGCAUAAUACUAAAUUACUGCAUGGUAAUUUAUUUAAACAUUUAUGGCUUACAGAUGGGCAUGCGCAUGAUUAGCUAGUUGGAGAGGUAACGGCUCCCCAAGGCAACGAUCAUUAGGGGUUCUGAGAGGAAGGUCCCCCCACACUGGUACUGAGACACGGACCAGACUCCUACGGGAGGCAGCAGUGAGGAAUAUUGGUCAAUGGACGAGAGUCUGAACCAGCCAAGUCGCGUGCAGGAAGAAUGUCCUAUGGAUUGUAAACUGCUUUUGCAGGGGAAUAAAGUGCAUCACGUGUGAUGUUUUGUAUGUACUCUGCGAAUAAGGAUCGGCUAACUCCGUGCCAGCCGCCGC
rnacentral:rRNA from 1 species